rnacentral:rRNA from 1 species
GACGAACGCUGGCGGCGUGCUUAACACAUGCAAGUCGAGCGAUGAAGUCUCUUCGGAGAUGGAUUAGCGGCGGACGGGUGAGUAACACGUGGGUAACCUGCCUCAUAGAGGGGAAUAGCCUUUCGAAAGGAAGAUUAAUGCCCCAUAAGAUUGUAGUACCGCAUGGUACAGCAAUUAAAGGAGCAAUCCGCUAUGAGAUGGGCCCGCGGCGCAUUAGCUAGUUGGUGAGGUAACGGCUCACCAAGGCGACGAUGCGUAGCCGACCUGAGAGGGUGAUCGGCCACAUUGGGACUGAGACACGGCCCAGACUCCUACGGGAGGCAGCAGUGGGGAAUAUUGCACAAUGGGGGAAACCCUGAUGCAGCAACGCCGCGUGAGUGAUGACGGCCUUCGGGUUGUAAAGCUCUGUCUUCAGGGACGAUAAUGACGGUACCUGAGGAGGAAGCCACGGCUAACUACGUGCCAGCAGCCGCCGUAA